CGGGGGAGGCCGGAUCCUGGGCUGUGUCCCGGCGCCCUGUGCUCCGGGGCCUGCGCUGUUGGAUUCGCGCUCCCGGCCUGCAGCCCCCU
rnacentral:pre_miRNA from 1 species